GCUGUCCAAUUUUUCUCUGGGACAGACCUCGAGGGUAACUUAAAAACGCCACGUGCUAUUUUUUUCACACCUCCCCGUGGAAAUUUGGGAUCUGUCCUGCGAGCGUCCGCCUUGCGCAGAAGCGUCUCUUGCUGUGAAACAUUACUUUUUGCAGUCGUCAACAAGGACGGGCGCGACGUAAGAAAGCCCAGGGAGCGUCGACAAAGCCCAUCAGAAGAUUGUCAAGAAUGCUAACAAUUCUUGCGUUCCUCUGCUCCUCUUGUCUGCUGUCAGGACUGAAGUGUUGACGGAAGAGUGCUAGUUGCUGGUAGAACCCUCCUCCGCUUUCGUCGGUGUGUAGACACAGCGUCACUGGACUGCAUGAGCAUCAAUCAUAACGAGAGAGAGGUACUGUUUCAAUUGUAUCAGCGAGUUCAAUAGUCGAUGGUGCAUUUUUACGACGGCCACAUGUGUGGCUCCCUUGGAAGCCUCUCUUGAAAAGCGCUCCUGACAAACAUGUCUGCAGAAAGGUAAAUCCCGGACCCAGCAGCCCAGACAGAGACGAUGGCCUCCUGUUUCUUGUUCCACAGGGCGACAAGCAGGAUUUUUUAACAAUCAGACCCACCAAAAGCCCCUCAUUUCGCAUAUGUAAUGGCUGAUAUCCUCUGAAUGAAUCACGGCAUCUUCCUCAUCGAUUCCCCUUUGUAUCUCGGGUGCCUCUGUUAGGUGUCGGUGAAUGCUUUCAGGAGGAAACAAUAUUGCAAAUGCGUCUACGUGUAUACCAAUGUUAACAGAAAGAGAGACGUACUAACGAUGGAGGUGCACACGAACGCUAUGCGUGCAAGGAAAUAUAUAUACACGACACGUGUGUAUAUAUACAGCCUGACAACUUUAAAAUAACGCCAGCUAUACUUCCGUAGAGUCAUCGUUCCACAGGAGUGCAAUGAAGCGAACGCAUGUUUUCGGUGCUACGGAAUCUGCCAGAUGCUCCAAUGAAACAGCAACUCCACUAUGUUUCAACUUGCAUAUGUCGAAGCGUUCAGGGACAGGCGGAGCAUGAAAUUUCCUCUCGGGCUCUGGUACCUUAUUUAUCGCUAAAACGGGUUUUCUAGUUUUCUCGCUGUAGGAAUAGGUAAGCCGACUCUGGGCGAGCGGACCGCUUUUCCUGAAAACAACUGAAUGAUCACCUCUAGAUUCCCAGCUUUAAGAUGCACCAAAGUUGCACAGCCGAUCGCGAGUCCAUUUCGACCGGAGUUGUGUUUCCGCAGCAGAGAGCGUUCUGUUUGCUGUGGCUGUCAAGCGUUUUGGACGAAGGGCGUUUUGCCACCUCACUGAACAGUUCAGAACGGUGUUGUCAAGCAGCG
rnacentral:lncRNA from 1 species